UUGGGAAUAUUGGGCAAUGGGCGAAAGCCUGACCCAGCAACGCCGCGUGAGGGAAGAAGGUCUUCGGAUUGUAAACCUCUGUCCUUGGUGAAAAGGAGAAGAUGGUAGCCAAGGAGGAAGCUCCGGCUAACUACGUGCCAGCAGCCGCGGUAAUACGUAGGGAGCGAGCGUUGUCCGGAAUGAUUGGGCGUAAAGGGCGUGUAGGCGGCCUUGUAAGUCUGGAGUGAAAUUCCCGUUUUCAAGAUGGGAACUGCUUUGGAUACUGUAGGGCUUGAGUGCAGGAGAGGUCAUCGGAAUUCCCGGUGUAGCGGUGAAAUGCGUAGAGAUCGGGAGGAACACCAGUGGCGAAGGCGGGUGACUGGACUGCAACUGACGCUGAGGCGCGAAAGUGUGGGGAGCAAACAGGAUUAGAUACCCUGGUA
rnacentral:rRNA from 1 species